rnacentral:rRNA from 1 species
CCCUCCCUCCCCCCUGCCGCCGCCACCUCCAUCGCCAUCUCCCUCUCUCCCCGUCUCCCCGAUCUCUGACCCAGCCACCACCCAUGGCGCCAGCCAGAGCAACCACCAGCUAUGGUGACGGCGAAGCUAGAGGCUGCCAGAUCCGGGACCAGGGCGGCGCAUAGCCCCUCCUCCCGUGAGAUCCUCUGCAUCGAGCAGCUCCUCUUCCCGCUGCACCGUCUCCCCAUCCGGAUCAAGCAGUUCCUCUUUGCCCGCUCUACCGACCCCCUCCAUCAGCCGUCGCUACGCAGUACACUUCCACCGCUUCUGCCGCCUCCCAAGUCGUCGUCCUCCCGAUCCCCUCCCCUCCCCUUCCUAUGCUCCGGACACCCCAUCUCCGUCGGGCCGGGCGCCCCAUCCACCUCUACGGGCGGCGUUGGCGUAUGAGCAAUGGCGUCGCCCGGGUCGCGGCGGCGUACGUGCGGAUCAUGGCCGACACGAUCCUCGGCGGCGGCGGCCACGGCUUCUACGUCAUGCACUGCAUCGAGACCUCCUACAAUGCGAGGAUGGAGGAGAGGCUGCGUCGAUGGCAAGCUUGAGUGCCUCUACCAUGGCUGGCAGUUCGACGGCCAGGGCAAGUGCGUCAAGAUCCCACAGGUUAAUGGAGCAAUGAUGUGGUGGUAUAACAUAUCUGCGGCGGUUCUUCAAGCAGCUUUCCAUGUGGAGGAUCGCGUCCAGGGUCGUCGUCAAGCCCUCGCGCGGCUCAUGGGCAUAGGCUGGUCCAUGCACGCUGGUGAUGGCGGCUCACCAAGGUUGUCGUCGUCGCCUGCACGCACGAGGCACCUGACGACCUCCUCCAUCGCCAGCCACGAGGACCGGGCACGAGCUGCAGUACAGGUCUCGUACACGAGGAGGCCCUUGUGGUCGCCGCUGGAGGGGCUGGAGCUUGGCGGCAGCCUGGCGGAUGACGGGGGCCUGGACGGGGGCUAUUUCUGUAGCAGGAUGAUAGCUUAAAUUUUGUGAUAAUUUUGGAAUAGCUUCAGCACCUACAGUUAACUUUGCACAAAAGCUUGAGUAAUUUUGCACAUGAAGCUUCUGCUACUGUUAUUCUUGUCAUGAAUCUUCCACCAUUUUCAGUAGCUUAAAUUUGACUUGGUGUAGUAAUCUUGGUGCUUAGUGCUGCUUGUAUCUCAUGCUAAUUGUUGCAUGAGUAGUUUCAGUAGUUUUAUAACAGCAGCAGUAGCACAAAUUUAAUUGAAUUCAAUUAAAAUUUCCAGAAUCUCUUCUUGAUCUAUAAUGUUUUAGUGCAAAAAAGUCAUACCGAGUGAGGUCCAUGUGGUGCUCUGAGAUGCUCUUGGUGGUUUGUUGUCAAGACUGAUACCCCCCGUUUGUCACGAUGCUGCUAGCUUGUUUCAGUCCAGUAUCUCUUCUUGAUAGUCUUGAUAACAUAAUUCAGUCCAGUAACUCUAAUUAAUUAACUGAAUUUAUUUGUUUAAUUAAAUUACAUUGAAACCUUUUAAUUAUAAUUAAAGAAGGGUUUCAGUUUAAUUAAAACUAAUUGAAACCUUUUCGGUUAAUCCUGUUGUAUAAUGUAGUAAUAGAGUAAGUAAUUUAGUGUAGAGUAAGUAAUUAAAGAUAGGCUUGCUGUUAGUAGUAGAGUAAGUAAUUAAGUCCUAUUGUUUACUGUAAGACUUGCUGUUUAGCAAGGCUUGAGUAAUUUAGUGUACUGCAUCUUUAGUUUCAACUGAAAUUUUUAUCAUGCUACUGUGACAUCUACUGUAAAUUUCAAACAAAUGAAAGGAGUACUGUAGUUACAAAUGGAGCCUACAAAUUCUAUACAUCUAUUGUACUCAUUUUUCAGUUAUCUGUAGUUACAAAGCAUUAAUUGUAAGACUGUAACUAAACAUAUCUUCUUAUCCUCUGUCAUUUUACUCAUACACAUGCUUAUGAUCCUGUUAACACAUGCUGAUGCUCAUUUUACUCAUGCACAUGCUCAUGAUCUUCUUAGUUAAGACUGUAACUACUCCAUUUGAUUGCAUGAUCUCUAUUUGAAUGCAUGCUCAUAAGAUUGUAACAGGAGUUCAAUAUAAUAGUGAACAUGCUCAUGAUCUCUAUUUGAAUGCAUGUUCUUCGAGUACUCGCAACCUGCAUCUUGAAUGGGAUCUUCUUUCAUGUUGAAAUCACAAUUUCGGUCAUCAUGACUUCCUCCAGGAAUGCAGGAUCAGCUGCUGCUGCUUGCUGCAGGAUCUGGUUAUCAACCUGAGAUGUCACUGCUCAAGUCAUGGCGACGACCGGGGAUGUAGCUGAUCCAACUUGGGAUGAUGUUGAUGAUCUGCUGCUCAACAAGGUCAUGCUGCUUCGUUUAGCCUCUACGAAAAUUUACAAGAGCUCUAGCCUGGAAGUGAAGAAGUCAGGAGUAUAUUUGUAGUAUAUAUGAUAGUAUGUUGGUGAAAUGAACGAUGUAAAGAUUGUGCUAUUACAAGAGCUCUAACCAAGGACAACCUGAAAAGUAUAUUUGUAGUAUUUUGGCUAAUUGGCAUGUGUUUUGAUAAUUUUCAUCUGUUUACUGUUCUCAUUGAAAUAAUUGUUUCAAAUUGUGGAAGU